rnacentral:rRNA from 1 species
GCAAUACAUGAGUAAAGCGGCGCACGGGUGAGUAACACGUGGAUAACCUGCCUCAAAGUGGGGAAUAACACCGGGAAACCGGUGCUAAUACCGCAUAUUCUGAUGGAAUCUGAGGAUUUUGUCAGUAAAGGAGCAAUUCGCUAUGAGAGGGGUCCGCGGCUGAUUAGCUAGUUGGUGAGGUAAUGGCUCACCAAGGCAACGAUCAGUAGCCGGUCUGAGAGGACGGUCGGCCACACUGGAACUGAGACACGGUCCAGACUCCUACGGGAGGCAGCAGUGGGGAAUUUUUCGCAAUGGGGGCAACCCUGACGAAGCAAUGCCGCGUGGAUGAUGAAGUAUUUCGGUACGUAAAAUCCUUUCGACGGGGACGAAACCGCAAGGUUGACGGUACCCGUAGAAGAAGCCCCGGCUAACUCCGUGCCAGCAGCCGCGGUAAUACGGGGGGGGCAAGCGUUGUUCGGAAUUACUGGGCGUAAAGGGUGCGUAGGCGGCUUUCUAAGUUGGAUGUGAAAACUCUGGGCUCAACCCAGAGACUGCAUCCAAAACUGGAGAGCUUGGGUUCUGGAGGGGAAAGCGGAAUUCCUGGUGUAGCGGUGAAAUGCGUAGAUAUCAGGAGGAACACCGGUGGCGAAGGCGGCUUUCUGGACAGAUACCGACGCUGAGGCACGAAAGCUAGGGGAGCAAACAGGAUUAGAUACCCUGGUAGUCCUAGCCCUAAACGAUGGAUACUUGCUGUGAGGGGGAUUGAAACCCCUUGUGG